GAGCAGCAUCAUUGAGGCAACAUGGGGUGGGGGGGACACUGAUAUCAACUGAUCGACCCCCAGAAGAGCAUGAGAUGUGCUGCUCUAUUUCUCAUAUCUUACUCCUCAUUGUGCCUGUACUCUUGGAGCCCUUUUGUUUUUGUGAUUAUGCUUUUUUUU